rnacentral:piRNA from 1 species
UUAAACAGUGUCAGACUUCAAGGAGAGGA